AGCUGCGCAGUGGGCACAAAGCGAACUAUUCUUUCGCCUUUUACUAAAGAAUACCGUGUGUCCGCUGCAAUAAGCAGCAUACGCCAACAAGUCAAUUUAGGUUUUGUUUGAAUUAAAUU
rfam:Zea mays cultivar B73 chromosome 1, whole genome shotgun sequence.